GUUCAGCGCCUGUCAUACCACCGUCUCUGCACUUCUGCACCAGCCUCACAGCUACAGGUUUCCUGGCGAGUGAAGAAACCUGCACGACGCGCCCUGCAGUACGUCGACUUAGCUUCCCCAGCCUUGGCCAUUAGUCAAGUGCGGCGGAUUUUCCUGCGUCCCAGACGCAUGAUGUUCAGCGCCUGUCAUACCACCGUCUGUGCACUUCUGCUCCAGCCUCACAGCUACAGGUUUCCUGGCGAGUGAAGAAACCUGCACGACGCGCCCUGCAGUACGUCGACUUAGCUUCCCCAGCCUUGGCCAUUAGUCAAGUGCGGCGGAUUUUCCUGCGUCCCAGACGCAUGAUGUUCAGCGCCUGUCAUACCACCGUCUGUGCACUUCUGCUCCAGCCUCACAGCUACAGGUUUCCUGGCGAGUGAAGAAACCUGCACGACGCGCCCUGCAGUACGUCGACUUAGCUUCCCCAGCCUUGGCCAUUAGUCAAGUGCGGCGGAUUUUCCUGCGUCCCAGACGCAUGAUGUUCAGCGCCUGUCAUACCACCGUCUGUGCACUUCUGCUCCAGCCUCACAGCUACAGGUUUCCUGGCGAGUGAAGAAACCUGCACGACGCGCCCUGCAGUACGUCGACUUAGCUUCCCCAGCCUUGGCCAUUAGUCAAGUGCGGCGGAUUUUCCUGCGUCCCAGACGCAUGAUGUUCAGCGCCUGUCAUACCACCGUCUGUGCACUUCUGCUCCAGCCUCACAGCUACAGGUUUCCUGGCGAGUGAAGAAACCUGCACGACGCGCCCUGCAGUACGUCGACUUAGCUUCCCCAGCCUUGGCCAUUAGUCAAGUGCGGCGGAUUUUCCUGCGUCCCAGACGCAUGAUGUUCAGCGCCUGUCAUACCACCGUCUGUGCACUUCUGCUCCAGCCUCACAGCUACUGGUUGUCUGGCGAAUGAAGAAACCUGCACUUCCGGUCCUUCAGUACGUCGACUUAGCUCUUCACAUCUGCAGCCCGUCAAGAUCUCUCUCUCCUGCGUAGUAGGCGACCAAAUCUGGUGCUCACCGUAGUGCGGCCAGCCCUGCGUUCGCGACAGUUCAUCACAUUUCUAGGCCCGAUGACGUUGAGCUGCAUGGAAAAGUCCAUCUCUGCGUGAUUUGUGAUGUCUCCGCGACGCUGCACAUCUACGGAUUCAUGAGGGGAACACCGACAACGACAUCCCUGCGAAAG